UUUGGAAAUGGUGCUUAAGCGGCCGCAUUCGAAAUAAACAGAGGACAAUUCUGGGUCAUUUCUCCAUUUUUCCAUUGCUUCCAACGCCAAUUUCAUAUACUUAAGAUCUGCAUAUUCUGGCCGAACAAUCUUGUUGAUAUCGUUUGCUGCAGACAUGCUGGAAGGAACGGGUUCGGCAUCAAUAGCAAUGAUAUUAUCAAAGGAAUGAUUUUUUGCCAAUUCAACUGCAGUUGAAAGGCCAAAAACUCCACAUCCAACUAUGACAAUGGUUCUCGACAUGGCUCAGUGGGUACUUGAUUAUGGCUAACGGAAUGAAUAAGGGAGCCAUCAACCUCGUGGUCUAUGCAAUGAACAAUUUUAGCAUCCAGGCUUCUCGCAAUAAAUUUAUAUCAAUCAGUCACAAUGAGAACAAUAUAGUGUUGCAAAGAUAUUGAUUG